GGCAGGAGGAGGAAAGUUUGAAAAGUCACUUAAAGCAUUGCAAGAUUCUCCCCCACCCCCAGCACCAGGAGAGCCCACCGCACAGAGAGGAGCCAGGGCUCCACGUGCGCAGCGGGCCCAGGAGAAGCUGGAGUUCCCUCUAGGUCCUCGAACAUACAAGAGACGAAGAACAUUACCGAAAUGUAAUCAGAGAAAGUCCGUCAAGGGGAAGUCCCAUCAGGUGACCUGCCUGCCUCACUGGAGGAAAGUCACGAGAAAAGAGAAAUAGGCAGGAGGUGGAGAGACCACUUGCUGAAUGAGAGGCGGCGGCGGCGGCGGCGGCGGCGGCAGCGGCGGUGGCGGCAAGACCUAGAGGAACCUGAGCCUCCAAGCAGCAAUACCCUUUCCUGGGCACUAAGAGGACCCCAGGCUGCCUGAGCAAGCACUUACACACCCUUUGGCUGGCCUAGGUUGUGCCUUAGGUGAGGGAAAGUAUCUCAAAAUAAAGUUUUUUUAAAAAAAGAAAAGCUG
ensembl:antisense Grip1os3 glutamate receptor interacting protein 1, opposite strand 3